rnacentral:rRNA from 1 species
UGCAAGUCGAACGGAAAGGCCCUUCGGGGUACUCGAGUGGCGAACGGGUGAGUAACACGUGGGUGAUCUGCCCUGCACUCUGGGAUAAGCCUGGGAAACUGGGUCUAAUACCGGAUAGGACCACACACUUCAUGGUGAGUGGUGCAAAGCUUUUGCGGUGUGGGAUGAGCCCGCGGCCUAUCAGCUUGUUGGUGGGGUAAUGGCCCACCAAGGCGACGACGGGUAGCCGGCCUGAGAGGGUGACCGGCCACACUGGGACUGAGAUACGGCCCAGACUCCUACGGGAGGCAGCAGUGGGGAAUAUUGCACAAUGGGCGCAAGCCUGAUGCAGCGACGCCGCGUGAGGGAUGACGGCCUUCGGGUUGUAAACCUCUUUCAGUAGGGACGAAGCGAAAGUGACGGUACCUACAGAAGAAGGACCGGCCAACUACGUGCCAGCAGCCGCGGUAAUACGUAGGGUCCGAGCGUUGUCCGGAAUUACUGGGCGUAAAGAGCUCGUAGGUGGUUUGUCGCGUUGUUCGUGAAAACUCACAGCUUAACUGUGGGCGUGCGGGCGAUACGGGCAGACUAGAGUACUGCAGGGGAGACUGGAAUUCCUGGUGUAGCGGUGGAAUGCGCAGAUAUCAGGAGGAACACCGGUGGCGAAGGCGGGUCUCUGGGCAGUAACUGACGCUGAGGAGCGAAAGCGUGGGUAGCGAACAGGAUUAGAUACCCUGGUAGUCCACGCCGUAAACGGUGGGUACUAGGUGUGGGUUUCCUUCCUUGGGAUCCGUGCCGUAGCUAACGCAUUAAGUACCCCGCCUGGGGAGUACGGUCGCAAGACUAAAACUCAAAGGAAUUGACGGGGGCCCGCACAAGCGGCGGAGCAUGUGGAUUAAUUCGAUGCAACGCGAAGAACCUUACCUGGGUUUGACAUGCACAGGACGUACCUAGAGAUAGGUAUUCCCUUGUGGCCUGUGUGCAGGUGGUGCAUGGCUGUCGUCAGCUCGUGUCGUGAGAUGUUGGGUUAAGUCCCGCAACGAGCGCAACCCUUGUCCUAUGUUGCCAGCGGGUAAUGCCGGGGACUCGUAGGAGACUGCCGGGGUCAACUCGGAGGAAGGUGGGGAUGACGUCAAGUCAUCAUGCCCCUUAUGUCCAGGGCUUCACACAUGCUACAAUGGCCAGUACAGAGGGCUGCGAAGCCGCAAGGUGGAGCGAAUCCCUUAAAGCUGGUCUCAGUUCGGAUUGGGGUCUGCAACUCGACCCCAUGAAGUCGGAGUCGCUAGUAAUCGCAGAUCAGCAACGCUGCGGUGAAUACGUUCCCGGGCCUUGUACACACCGCCCGUCACGUCAUGAAAGUCGGUAACACCCGAAGCCAGUGGCCUA